CAUAACAAUACUCAAUUAAACUUGAAAAAUACAAUGAGUUAGCCUUCCUAUUUAUAGGCUAGUUUGGGACGUAAAUGAUAAGCUACAUUACAAGGAAAAGAAAACCAAAAUUAAAUCUAAAUUCUAGGGUGCAAUGGCCGGUCAUACACAACCCUAGUUUCUAGAAGGUUUCCAUCUAAAAUGCUUCCUACACUAUCCUAUCUACUCAGUACCCCCAAUGGGCCUUUAUGCAAACAUAUACAAAGCCUUUUCUCUUCCA
rnacentral:lncRNA from 1 species